rnacentral:rRNA from 1 species
GACGAACGCUGGCGGCGUGCUUAACACAUGCAAGUCGAACGGAAAGGCCCUGCUUUUGUGGGGUGCUCGAGUGGCGAACGGGUGAGUAACACGUGAGUAACCUGCCCUUUACUUUGGGAUAACUUCAGGAAACUGGGGCUAAUACCGGAUAGGAGCUCCUGCUGCAUGGUGGGGGUUGGAAAGUUUCGGCGGUUGGGGAUGGACUCGCGGCUUAUCAGCUUGUUGGUGGGGUAGUGGCUUACCAAGGCUUUGACGGGUAGCCGGCCUGGAAGGGUGACCGGCCACAUUGGAACUGAGGUACGGCCCAGACUCCUACGGGAGGCAGCAGUGGGGAAUAUUGCACAAUGGGCGGAAGCCUGAUGCAGCAACGCAGCGUGCGGGAUGAAGGACUUCGGGUUGUAAACCGCUUUCGCCUGUGACGAAGCGUGAGUGACGGUAAUGGGUAAAGAAGCACCGGCUAACUACGUG